CCCCAAAGUUCAGGACAGGUAGA
rnacentral:piRNA from 1 species